rnacentral:rRNA from 1 species
GAUGAACGCUGGCGGCGUGCCUAAUACAUGCAAGUCGAGCGAAUGGAUUAAGAGCUUGCUCUUAUGAAGUUAGCGGCGGACGGGUGAGUAACACGUGGGUAACCUGCCCAUAAGACUGGGAUAACUCCGGGAAACCGGGGCUAAUACCGGAUAACAUUUUGAACCGCAUGGUUCGAAAUUGAAAGGCGGCUUCGGCUGUCACUUAUGGAUGGACCCGCGUCGCAUUAGCUAGUUGGUGAGGUAACGGCUCACCAAGGCAGCGAUGCGUAGCCGACCUGAGAGUGUGAUCGGCCACACUGGGACUGAGACACGGCCCAGACUCCUACGGGAGGCAGCAGUAGGGAAUCUUCCGCAAUGGACGAAAGUCUGACGGAGCAACGCCGCGUGAGUGAUGAAGGCUUUCGGGUCGUAAAACUCUGUUGUUAGGGAAGAACAAGUGCUAGUUGAAUAAGCUGACACCUUGACGGUACCUAACCAGAAAGCCACGGCUAACUACGUGCCAGCCGCCGCCGUAA